rnacentral:lncRNA from 1 species
GAUGGACGGCCCAGAUUUAUUCUCAUUUUAAUCGUGAUCGGACGGCCCAGAUUAAAUCGUGAUUGACGGCUAAGAUUAAAAAGGGAAGGUUAUAAAUAACCUCACCCACACCCAACCCCAAACCCCAGCCGCCAGUACCCUCGCCGGAGAAGAAGAACCAGUCACCAGAGGAGUCGGCCGCCGCCACCCGACACCGCACCGGAGG